rnacentral:rRNA from 1 species
AACGUAGGUACCGAGCGUUAUCCGGAUUUACUGGGCGUAAAGCGCGUUCAGGCGGUUUGGCAAGUCGGGCAUGAAAUCUCUCGGCUCAACCGGGAGAGGUUGUCCGAUACUUCCAGACUUGAGGGCAGUAGAGGGUGGUGGAAUUCCGGGUGUAGUGGUGAAAUGCGUAGAUAUCCGGAGGAACACCCGUGGCGAAGGCGGCUCUCUGGGACGGUACUGACGCUGAGACGCGAAAGCGUGGGGAGCGAACAGG